rnacentral:rRNA from 1 species
GACGUAGGAGGCGAGCGUUAUCCGGAUUCACUGGGCGUAAAGGGUGCGCAGGCGGCGGUUCGCGUGGAUAGGUGAAAUCUCCUGGCUUACCUGGGAGGAUGGUAUCCAGACGGGAUCGCUUGAGGGUCGGAGAGGGGCGUGGAAUUCCGGGUGGAGCGGUGAAAUGCGUAGAGAUCCGGAGGAACACCGACGGCGUAGGCAGCGCCCUGGACGACACCUGACGCUGAGGCACGAAAGCUGGGGGAGCGAACAGG